rnacentral:tmRNA from 1 species
GGGGGCGAAAUGGCUUCGACGGGGAUGGUUGAGGUCAAGGUUGCAGGCCGAGGUGCUGCGAGGUCCUCGUAAAACACGCAGCAAAGCAAUAAAUGCCAACGAUAAUUACGAAUACGCUCUGGCUGCUUAAUUAAAGCCAGCGUUUCUACCUUUCCUGGCCUGAGGGGAGGGUAGAAACGGCGGUCAAAUCAGGCUAGCUAACAAUCUUUGCCUACGGGAUUGUUAGUGAAAUAGGAGUAGGCUGGUCUUUGGGCGCCGGAUCAGGGGCUAACCCAAAGACGAGAUGUUAAACCUGAUCUAAGCCUGUAGAUGCCUUGUUCCGAACGUUCCCGGACGUGGGUUCAACUCCCACCGCCUCCACCA